GAGAGUGAUGAUUUCACAGACUAGAGUCUCUGACAACUGCCCUUGAUGUCAACUAUAAAUCUGACUC